GCUAAAUACCUAAUAAAAAUGGGAACAAAAAAGAAACACAUAUAGAUGCUGAGCCACUCACAUGCGAGCACACAGAAAAACCAUUAAAAUUCAUUUGCAGACAUAAUAUGUAAGCAAAAUAUUGUUCAUUCAUAAAAGUACUUAGAGAACAAGAAGAGAAUCUAGCAGGUUCAAUGAUACUAUGCAAAUGUAAAUCCACAGCCUAUGAUGUUUUCUAUACUUUGAGUGCAAAUAAGGAAUUAAGGCAAAAAUACCACCAUCAUUUAUCUCUGUAAUUAAGGUAAUGGUUUGACUUGUAGUCUGCAUUCUUUACCUAUGUCGAUAGAGGGAGACUACCUGUAAAUAAGAAACAGGCUAGACCAACAAAAAGCAGUUCUGAUUUAGCUUGAAAACUUGGAAUUAUCCAGGACUGUGCUGGGUGAAGAUGUCCCACAAGAAGUUGUGGGAAUGAGUUGGUCUUCACUAGAGUUACUUUUUUUUUUUUUGUAAAUGUCUCCUUUCCUUUCCUUUCCUUUCCUUUCCUUUCCUUUCCUUUCCUUUCCUUUCCUUUCCUUUCCUUUCCUUUCCUUUCCUUUUUCUUUCCUUUCCUUACCUUUUCUUUUCUUCCUGUCUUUAUUUCUCAUUUGCUUUUAAUAUCUAUUUUAUGUAUCUUUAUUUUUUUUCUCAUACAAUUUAUUCUGAUCAAGGUUUCUGUCCUCUAGAUCCUCACAGGUCAUUCCCACCUCUGCAUCCACUCAACUUCAGCCCCAUUCUCUCUCUCUUCUUUCGGAAACAAAUGGACAAAAAAAAAAAAAAAGAAAGAAAAAGAAAAGAAAAAACAAACAAACAAAACAAAACAAAACAAAAAAAGCAAACAAGCCAGAGAUUAGAAACAAACACAAGAAAGGAAAAGCAAAAGAAAUAAAAACACAAUUUAAAAAAUCUUGAAAUGUAUAGGGACUAGAGCAGUGGUCAAAGCAGUUGAAAACUUAUUACAUGAUCAGUAAGAACAGAGUGGGAACCUAGCACCCACUUGCAAUUCCACUUCCCAGGGUAUGUGUGGUGGGCACAGACAAGAGGAUUGCUGAAACCUGCUGGUUUCUAACCUAGCUCAGGUUAAGGGAGAAACCCUGCUUCAAGGGGUAGGGUGACUAGAGUAGGGUAAUCAAUAUCUCCUUGUAGCCACUAAGACUAUGUACAGAUAUGUAUUCCUGCACACAUGCAUGCACAUGCAUCCACACAGAUACUGCAAUGCCAAGAUGAGUAAUAAAUACAUCUUUCAAACCUUCAUAAUUACUGUUUCAACAAUGAAAAAUUGGCAAACCAGAAAAGAAAAUGAAUACUUUUGGAUGUGACCUGUCACCUUAUUUAAGAAAAUAUGCACAAAUAUACACCUAAAAGAGAACCAAGAGUGUCUAGGUGAUUAUCCACACUUAAACUUCCCUGUAGUCUUUUGUUGCAGUGACUUACAAAGAAGUCCUGAGUGUUAACAGUUCGCUAUUAAAGACAGUAUUGAAGAGUUAAUCCAAUGCACACUGGAGAGUCGAUGCAUGUUUUGCAAUUCUCUGGUUGCAGACAUAUGAGAAGAGAGCAAUUAAUACUUUUUUGUCUUCUGUGAUGCCAGAAGAGCAGUAUAUACCAGAAGAGAAUUGGCUACAUGAUCGAUCGACUUACUUCUCCUCUGCACCAUUUGUCUUUAGGUAGAAACACAACAGGCUGGAGAGAUGCCUCAGGGCCAUGAGUGGUGCACAGAGAAAAUGAGGACUCAAAUUAUUAUUUUGUUGUGGUUGGUUGUUUUUAAUAAAAACAAAUUGGCGUGGUAAUUCAGCUCAGGGGAUUUUGAUUUUUGAAAAUCUAUUCUCAUUUGAUUUUAGCAAGGUGAAUGGUAGGUAGCAUGUGGCUUUAUUUAUUUAACUUCAAUGGAAAAGGCAAGUUGUUCUUUCACGAGUAUAUGAUUGACUAUGCUGCUUAUGAUAUCUUUAGAAGUCAUUUACUUGUCUUUACACUGAUGUGUUAUAAUUAUUCAUCAACAAUUCUUCAUGUAUCACUGUCACUGUAAAAUCUACAGACUCUGUGCUUGGUAGGUCAGUAUUUGCUAUGCUAUGAUAUCUAUAGCUCAUUAGAGUCCUUACAUGUAUAGUCCUGUGCAUGUCUUUAGUUAAGGCCUGACUGAUUUUUGAAUCAAAUUUCUCUGUUUUCCAAGAAAUGUGCAAACAUGUAUGAAGCUCAAAGAUGUAUGAUGCCUGAAGAGUUCCUAGAUACCAAUGCCAAGGGAUCUCAUGUGUAAUUCUCCAGCUUAGCUGGGGAAUUUUGUAUUGCUCAUGUAGGACCCAAAUAUUUGCACAUAAUAACAUCAAGCAACAGAAAUAUAGCCAUGACUAUUAUAUCCACUCCGAUUGUUUUUACUGUAUCAACUCCAUUACUAAUGGCUGUAAUGGUCUGUGAUAAGACCUAG
rnacentral:lncRNA from 1 species